rnacentral:lncRNA from 1 species
AGCACCAGAGCACCAUUUCUCUCACUCUCCUCAGUAGUAGUAGUAGCCAUCUCCUGUUGUAAUAAGCCUUUGAGGCAUUUGUAUCAUCCAGUGGUGGAGGUAGGCAGAAGGUAGUCUUCCUUUCUCUUUGUAAUCCCUUCGGGGUCUCCCGAAAGGGAAAUCCGUAUGUAAAUUAUGUUGUCGAAGUGAAGUAGUUUCGGGUUUCACUUGGUUUUUAUAUUAUGAAUUUACGAAAUGAGUUCUUACGCUAGGGAUCCUAUAGGAGAAACCUCUGUCGGUAGUUCUCUGUUUAGCCGAUGUGUGGCGUUUGAAUGAGAACCUUGUGGCCGUAGAGAAGUGUUCCCUUCGGGUGGAACUGCCUGGGAAGACGGUAGGAAUUCAUCAAAUAAAUUUGUAAUAUAAACAUCAAGUGAAAGAACUUAGCUGCUUCUGAAGCAACAUAGUGAUGAAUACGGAGAGUACCGAGUAGGAUUAACACAACUGUUGCAUACCCGUAGGCUAUCUCGUUGGUUUCGCCAAUCCGUAAAAGAUCCUGCAUAUUGAUUAAGAAUUAGUUAAUUAAAUAAUUUCACAAAAUUUAGAUUACGUAAGAAGUUAAUAAGUACUUUAUAUUUUAUUUGAUAAUAUAUUUGUGUGUUGGAAAAUAAUAAUAAUAAUAAUAAUAAUAAUAAUAAUAAUAAUAAUAAUAAUAAUAAUAAUAAUAAUAAUAAUAACAACAAUAAUAAUGGUAGCAAGAAUAAUUAUGCAAGAAGCAGCCAUGCAACAUCCGUAUCAGGAAAGGUCUUCAUUCAAGACAAGACCCUUCAUCCAAGUUGCAUGAAGACAAUAUUCAACCGUGCAUGGAUAACUCAUAGCACGAUGCAUACAAGAACAAGAGUUGCAAUGAAGACAAGAGCUUCAGUCUGGACAAAAUCAUCUGUCAAGACAAAGAUUCCAGUCAAGACAAAAGUUCCAGUCUAGACAAAAUUCGCGGUCAAGACAAAUAUUCCAGUCUGGACAAAAUUCUCAGUCUAGACAAAGUUCUCAGUCUAGACAAAAAUAUCAGUCUAGCAUCGGAGUCACGCAAGGCUUGAUGUCGCAAACACUGAGGCACUUCAACGGUGCAUAAGGCGUGUCAAGCUACGAGAUACCCCGACCUCCAGCUAUGACGCAGAAGAAUAAAAGAGGGGAGCAUCCAGCAUCCCUCGCGCACUAUAAAAGGAGGAGGACUGAGCGCGGAGAGACACACACAACAACAGUCUACACAACACCAGUCUCCAGAGCAUCGCAAGCACCAGAUCACCACUUCCCUCACUCUCCUCAGUAGUAGUAGUUGGUAGUAGCCAUCUCCAGUUUUUAAUAAGCCUUUGAGGCAUUGUAUCAUCCAGUGGUGGAGGUAGGCAGAAGGUAGUCCUCCUUUUCUCUUUGUAAUCCCUUCGGGGUCUCCCGAAAGGGAAAUCCAUAUGUAAAUUAUGUUGUCAAAAUGAAGUAGUUUCUGGUUUUACUUGGUUUUUAUAUUAUGAAUUUAUGAAACGAGUUCUUACGCUAGGGAUCCUAUAGGAGAAACCUCUG